ensembl:lncRNA
ACUGCACUUGGUGGGUCAGAGGGCCCAUUCAUCGCAGAAGGUGCUGGCACCCGACUCCAGUACUCUUGCCUGGAAAAUCCCAUGGACGGAGGAGCCUGGUGGGCUGCAGUCCAUGGGGUCGCUAAGAGUCGGACACGACUGAGCGACUUCACUUUCACUUUUCACUUUCAUGCAUUGGAGAAGGAAAUGGCAACCCACUCCAGUGUUCUUGCCUGGAGAAUCCCAGGGACGGGGGAGCCUGGUGGGCUGCCAUCUCUGGGGUCGCACAGAGUCGGACAUGACUGAAGCGACUUGGCAGCAGGGCCCAUUCACGUGUUCCCAGGCCCCUGUGUGCCAGGCACUACAUGUGGUCACUGUGGUACCAAGGUGCGCUUCUGCCUUGUUCUAACGAUUCAUGGAUGGUUUCAUUCUUUUCCAAAUUAAAACAAAUCCAUGCAUGUGUUGUUACAUAGUUUUGCUUUAAAAUUUAUAUAGGUCUGUGGUGGAAAAUGUGCUUAUCAAUUUUAUGAAACUAAUAAGCUAAAACAAAUGCAUCAUAUUUUAGCUAAAAUUUGUUCCCUUACAUACGAAGAGUCAUUGUUCUACUCUUUUCAUUGGUGGCUGCCACAGGAAAAACUGAAAAAAUGUGACUUCUACCCAUGUUCAAAAAGCAGACAGACCAAGAAUCUCGUGCCUUGUCUGAUUCCUCUUCAAAGCCAGAGAAAAUAUGAGAAAAAAAAAGAAAAUGGAAAACCAAAGCCAUAUGUUUUAUUUUAAAGGUGAACUCUUUUACUAUAUUUAAAAGACAUUUCAUACUAUCUCUUUUCUUUAAACUUCAGUUCAGUUGUUAAUUUGGUGAUAUGUUAUUUGAAAAAUAUAAAUUUAAAUUUGAGUUGUUAGACAUGAUUGGUUAAAAAUUUAGGAAUAUUGAGAACUGAGUAAAUGUUUA